GCGGCAGUAUCUCAAUAUGGUAGAGAGCUGGCUUAUGCCAGAGGUCCUGGUUCGAUUCCAGGCUGUCGAA
rnacentral:tRNA from 1 species